rnacentral:lncRNA from 1 species
UUCUUUUUUGGCAAAACUGAGGGGGUGAUCCAUCGUCCAUGGUCUAAUGAGGUGUUGCAAUGCAAUUAGAAGUCCAAUAGCAGACAGUGAUGCAUGGUCAACAGUUGGCAGCGAUGGAUGGCCGAUGGUGGUGACUAGUCGGCAAAAAAAAUCAUAAAAAAAAUUUAGAAAACAAGGGAAUUGGGGCCCUUUUCUCUUCUCUUUAGCCGUUGGCUGCUCACUAACGGCCAUGACUUUGUUGGGAAGGGCCGUAGGGUGGUCGGGAGAUCCGACCAAAGGUUUAGCAUCAGGGGGUGGCAAU